rnacentral:rRNA from 1 species
GACGAACCGUGCGAACGUUGUUCGGAAUCACUGGGCUUAAAGGGUGCGUAGGCGGCCAGGUAAGUCAGGAGUGAAAGUUUGCGGCUCAACCGUAAAAUUGCUUUUGAUACUGCCAGGCUAGAAUUAGGAUGAGGUCAGCGGAAUGUGGCAUGUAGCGGUGAAAUGCAUAGAUAUGCCAUAGAACACCAAUUGCGAAGGCAGCUGGCUAGACCUGGAUUGACGCUGAGGCACGAAAGCGUGGGGAGCGAACAGG